UCGCUGUCUAUUUUAUAGGAGGGGGGGGCGAUCGGGGAUGCUGCCAUGGGGUUUACAGACAGUAAAUGGUAGUUUAUUAAUGCUUUGCUCUUCAAAACAUCUGUGCUUUCAAAACGUCUGUGUUUCUUACUCAACGCUAUCGUCAGUAUCAUUUUGUAAAGUGCUUUUGAAUGGUAUUGGUUUGGCUCCUGAUUUGUGGAAGGUGGGGAAGGUAAAGUGAGAGUACAAAUGAGUGUGCUUGAAUGACCUCUUCCUCUCUCCAUCUCCUUUUCUCCCUCUCCCUUCUCCCCCCUCCUCAGAAGGUGAAGUUCUUGGGCGGCUCUAAGAAGGCAGUGACCUGUACCCAGCCCAUUAGGGAGGCAGCCAUGAGCGUGGCCCAUGGGGUGGCAGACGAGAUGCACGUCAUGCUGGGCAAGGAGAUGGUAUGUUGCUGUGGGAGGCCGUGAACGACCCCCUGCUGGCGCGCUACGGCGUCAUCCUGGACGAGGCCCACAGGAGAACACGGGCCACAGACUUCCUCAUGAACACGGGCCGCAGACUUCCUCAUGAACACGGGCCGCAGACUUCCUCAUGAACACGGGCCACAGACUUCCUCAUGAACACGGGCCACAGACUUCCUCAUGAACACGGGCCACAGACUUCCUCAUGAACACGGGCCACAGACUUCCUCAUGAACACGGGCCACAGACUUCCUCAUGAACACGGGCCACAGACAUCCUCAUGAACACGGGCCACAGACAUCCUCAUGAACACGGGCCACAGACAUCCUCAUGAACACGGGCCACAGACUUCCUCAUGAACACGGGCCACAGACUUCCUCAUGAACACGGGCAACAGACGUCCUCAUGAACACGGGCCACAGACGUCCUCAUGAACACGGGCCACAGACGUCCUCAUGAACACGGGCCACAGACGUCCUCAUGAACACGGGCCACAGACGUCCUCAUCAACACGGGCCACAGACGUCCUCAUCAACACGGGCCACAGACGUCCUCAUCAACACGGGCCACAGACGUCCUCAUCAACACGGGCCACAGACGUCCUCAUCAACACGGGCCACAGACGUCCUCAUCAACACGGGCCACAGACGUCCUCAUCAACACGGGCCACAGACGUCCUCAUCAACACGGGCCACAGACGUCCUCAUCAACACGGGCCACAGACGUCCUCAUCAACACGGGCCACAGACGUCCUCAUCAACACGGGCCACAGACGUCCUCAUCAACACGGGCCACAGACGUCCUCAUCAACACGGGCCACAGACGUCCUCAUCAACACGGGCCACAGACGUCCUCAUCAACACGGGCCACAGACAUCCUCAUGAACACGGGCCACAGACAUCCUCAUGAACACGGGCCACAGACAUCCUCAUGAACACAGGCCACAGACAUCCUCAAAGAGGUCAUCGUCAUGAGCGUCACGCUGGACGCCGACAAGUUCUAGGUGUACUUAGACAGCUGUCCGCUGCUGACCAGCCUGAGAGAAGGACUACCUGGAGGCAGCCAUCCGCACGGUCAUCCGAAUCUUCCUCAACAAACACGAGGUUGGCCGAUUUUACACUUUUUACAAUUAGUUUGUAUUUAGCAGGAAUCAUGAUGCAAAGUAAUAUACUCAUAAACAGUGUGUUUCUACUGGUACCUAACGGUGUUCCGUACACAUUUUGCGUAACUGGAGCAUUUAAACGAGGCUGCAAUGAAAACGAAUGGGAAUGUAGCAACUGUGUUGGCAUCAAAAUCUGGGGUGUUAGCUACGUUGACAUGGUCCAGCUGCACCACCGAGAGCAUCCUGACAGGUUGCAUCACUGCCUGGUAUGGCAACUACUUGGCCUCCGACCGCAAGGCACUACAGAGGGUAGUGCGUACG